rnacentral:rRNA from 1 species
UACGUAGGGGGCGAGCGUUGUCCGGAUUUACUGGGCGUAAAGCGCGUGUAGGCGGCCCGUUAAGUGGGGUGUGAAAGCCCGGGGCUCAACCCCGGGACGCCGCUUCAAACUGGCGGGCUUGAGUUCGGGAGAGGGAUGCGGAAUUCCAGGUGUAGCGGUGAAAUGCGUAGAUAUCUGGAGGAACACCGGUGGCGAAGGCGGCAUCCUGGACCGAUACUGACGCUGAGGAGCGAAAGCCAGGGGAGCAAACGGG